AACCCUGGUCUGAUCCAGUCUGAUCAUGCACACAGUCUAUACUUUUUGUAUGGCUGUUUUAGGCUUCUGCACUCUAGUAGUGUGUUAUCCUAUACAAUCCAAAGAAGAUAUCACAACAGACAACCAGAAAGAUCAAUAUACAGAGAAGAUAAGCCACUUGAAAUUAAGCUUUAGUAAUGGAAAAAGGAAAGCCAUUUAUCAAGAUUCAAAAGGAGGCAUUUCAUUAAGGACAAGAAGGAAAGACUGCUUUUCUGUCGAGUUAAAAAGUAAUCUGUUUAUUUGCUUGGAUUCAAACAAACAACCAUACAUUUUAACAAACAACGAUAAAACACAUUUAUAUCUGAGGCACAGAAGAAGUCAGCAUGUUGACCCAUCUGAUCCUCUGGGCUCUGAGAAUCCAAGGUCAAGAACAGCAAACUAUCGAAGACCAAAUCGAGAGCAAGAGCGUGAGCACAUCAGUAACGUUUCUAAAGAGACAAUCACAUCUUGUGAUGACCCUUUAGACGUACUUCUCUCCAAGAGUCCUGUCAGUCCACAUUUGCAAAAAGAGAAGAAACAAAAGCAAGUUGCACCAUCUUCAACGUUGGAAAACAAUUACUGAUCAGACUUUUCUUUACGGUUUAUGUUGCAUGUCAUGAGUGGACAUAUGUGACCCUGGACAACAAAACCAGUCUUAUGGGUAAAUUUUUCGAAAUUUAGAUUUGCUAACGCUGAAUAAAUAAGAUUUCUAUUGAUUUAUGAGUUGUUAUAAUAGGACAAUAUCUGACUGAGAUACAACCGUUUAAAACUCUGGAAUCUGAGUGCAAAAAAAUCGGCAUAUUCAGAAAAUUGCCUGUGAUGUUGUUCAUCACAGGCACUGUAGCAGGCCAUCCACUCACAAAAGUAACGUUUUUAUAUAUUUAAGGUAGGAAAUAUACUAAAUAUCUUCAUGGAACAUGAUAUUUACUUAAUAUCCUAAUGAUUUUUGACAUAAAAGAAAAAGCGAUAAUUUUGUCCCAUACAAUGUAUUUUUGUCUUUUACUAAAAAAUUUCCUGUGCUACUUAAGACUGGUUUUGUGAUCAAGAGUCAUGUAUUAUUGUAAUGUUUUUUUAAGUGUAUGUAUAAAGUGUCAAAGACCUAAAACCUAAAACAUAUAUUCUCCUAGCUGGAGUAUUCUUAUUAGUUGUUUAGUUUGGUUAAAUAUUUAAUAACUAGUUAUUACAACUUAAAAAUAUUUUCUAUACCUUAUUCUGUAAUUUCUAUAACCUGUGUCUUUUUAUUCACCUUAGUAUAGAUAAAGCUAGAUAAGGUCACUGUUUGUCAGUCCUUUUACCUUCACAUCAGUUAAAAUUUAAACUUGAUGGCCAUUGUAACCUCUGGCAAGGACAGUAUUUUUCUGAAAAUGUUGCUAGGGCCUUUUAAUAGAUGAAUGGCGAUCGAAUCAUCAAAUACUUACGGUUAUCAUGUAUGAUUUUGGAGCUAAAUGUUAAAAGUCUGCAUUUCUGACUGAUUUUAAAAACAUUAACAUCACUAACAAAGUAAUGGUGAGAUGGCUGGCCACCUCCACUGAAUUAUUUAUAUUUAAGUAUUCAUACAUUUAUAUUUAAUAAUAAUAUCUAAAAAAAUAUCAAAUACAGGCCAAUGUAUCAAAUCACUGUGAAUAUUGAACUGAAACGUUUGAAUUGGGUCAAAUAAAUAAAUAAUCAGGUCAUCAUAUGUGUGAGUAGAACUCAUAUAGUAUAUGAGACAUACAGUAUACUGAUAAAGAUGUUUUAUUUAAAAAAGAUUUAAUUUAUUUUGAAACAAUAUAAGGUUUAAAAAUAAAUAAAAAAAAUGCAAGAAAAACGGA